GCUGCUGCUCCCCAACAGGGUCGGGCAGGAGGAGCCCACACCCGUCGGGAUGGUCACCCCCCACCCAGGUGAGAGGGACUGGGGGGGCUGCCAGCUCUGCAGGACCCCCAGAGCCGCCCUACACGGAGCUUGCCAGGCCUGGCAAGGUGACCGAGUGUUGGGCCACUGGUGGCCGCCACCUCCAUCAGCUUUGCUUGCAGAUCAGCUGAGCGGGGAGCCAGCUCACAGGAACCCAGAGGGGAAGAGGAGACACGCUUGAGCAUCUCCACAAGGGAUGAUGCACACAAGCAACGGAGGACUGCAAAACUGCCACCAGCAGUCCUCUCAGCUGGUUUGGUGACAAAGGCACCUUUGCUCAGGUGUUUGGUGCCUGAAAUUUUGUAUUUCUCCAUUCAGCACAGGGUAUGAAAAAGAAAAAAAAGAAGAAAAUCAAGAAUAAAAUCAAGUCACGGGAAGCUUCUCUGGAGCAGCGGCGUGAGGAGGUCUCAAGCACCUUCGAUCUGUACCGGCGGGCCAUGCUGGCUCUGAGGAUGAGGCAGGAGCAGAGGAAGCAGCCGUCGGCCAUCGCUCCCUGAGGCACAGGGCUCGGUGGCAGCGGGACCCUGCUGGGGCGCUUGGCCGGGGAGCUCCUGGGCCAUAAACAGCAUCACUGUCCUCUGCAAGGCUUGAAAACCAGGGAUCCGCAGGGGCGAGCCGAAAGUCCCUUUGUCAGGGCUCCUCUGGCAGUGGGGCUGCAAAUCCGGCUGAAAAGGGAAGGGCUGGCCCUUGCUGCCCCCUGCUCGCGUCCCGCGGAACGCUCCGCCGAAACCCCCAUCAGCCUGCGGAGGAUCCGAGCAGCAUCGCAGGGGGAAAUCUUGGCUCUUGAAGUGCCCUGUGCCCUGGGAAAGCUGUCUUUGCAGGCCAGGGGCUGAGCCGGGCCGGCAGUCUCUCCUAGGAGCAGUCUCGUUGCUGGAGGUGGGAGGGCAGUCCCGGGUGAUGUGAUGUGCAGAGCAGCUCAGCCCAGCCCUGGGCCACAUCUGGCAGGGCUGCCAGGACCCUCUCCGCACACGGGAGGAAGGCGAUGCCCGUGCCUCCUGCAGCCCCUCAGUGAAAAUUUAAGUUCAAUGGCAGGCGGUGGCAGAGGUUCCCUGCCCGGACUCGUUCCUCCUGAUCCCACCAUCAAUUCCAGAGGGACAGUGCCACUGGCAGCCUGGCACUGCUGCCCCAGUGGUCCCUGAUGCAGGGCUGAACGGGGAAAAGAAAAGAAACUGGCUACUCUUGCUGGCCUGCCAGAAAGUUCUGUCUAACUCUGCUGUAUUCAGUGGUUGGUGACUACAAGGAUUAUUUGUAAAUCAAUUGUAAAUAACAACAGCAGGAGUUGUAAAUACAGAGCUUUCAGUAAC